rnacentral:rRNA from 1 species
GACGAACGCUGGCGGCGUGCCUAACACAUGCAAGUCGAGCGAUGAAACCCUUCGGGGUGGAUUAGCGGCGGACGGGUGAGUAACACGUGGGUAACCUGCCUCAAAGAGGGGGAUAGCCUCCCGAAAGGGAGAUUAAUACCGCAUAACAUUAGUUUUUCGCAUGGAGAACUAAUUAAAGGAGUAAUCCGCUUUGAGAUGGACCCGCGGCGCAUUAGCUAGUUGGUGAGGUAAAGGCUCACCAAGGCGACGAUGCGUAGCCGACCUGAGAGGGUGAUCGGCCACAUUGGAACUGAGACACGGUCCAGACUCCUACGGGAGGCAGCAGUGGGGAAUAUUGCACAAUGGGCGAAAGCCUGAUGCAGCAACGCCGCGUGAGUGAUGAAGGCCUUCGGGUUGUAAAGCUCUGUCUUUUGGGACGAUAAUGACGGUACCAAAGGAGGAAGCCACGGCUAACUACGUG